rnacentral:lncRNA from 1 species
CUAGAAGCCCUCUGCCAGUAUGACCACUUUGGCUCUGAAAGUUUCAAAUUCCUUUCACACUUAAGAAAGCGCCAUCCCAGACUUUGUUGGCAAUGGCCUGUUGAAAAGACAACCUCCAUACUUUACAUGUAACGUAAAUUACAGAACAUUUAUUAUGUUUAGAGCGAACACUGAAUAAGACACAGAUUGCAGCUUUCAAGGAAUAACCAAUGUCAGGAAAGAUCUGAUCCUGCUAUUCCUUGGGCAACAAGGGGAGAAGCAGUAACUCUCUUUUAGAAUCAUUAUCUAAGCUACAGAGGCAGUUCGAUGAUUUCCCUGGAUUACAGGCUCUGAAAUGGCCUAGCCUCAUAUCAGACCAGGCAGGGACAGCCCAAGAUAUGUGACUUCCAGAAACUGCUUUCAGUAAUUAAUGGAAUUGUAACACCUGACUCCCUCCAGCUGUUACUCAAGCCCAUGG